CGCUGGCGGCGUGCCUAAUACAUGCAAGUCGAACGGCUUUUCUAUGGAAGCUUGCUUCCACUGAGAAGAUAGUGGCGAAACGGGUGAGUAACACGUGGGUAACCUGCCCAUAAGAGGGGGGAUAACAUCCGGAAACGGGUGCUAAUACCGCAUAGUUUUCUUGAUCGCAUGAUUGAGAAAGGAAAGACGGCCUUUGUGCUGUCGCUUAUGGAUGGACCCGCGGCGUAUUAGUUAGUUGGUGAGGUAACGGCUCACCAAGACGAUGAUACGUAGCCGACCUGAGAGGGUGAUCGGCCACAUUGGGACUGAGACACGGCCCAAACUCCUACGGGAGGCAGCAGUAGGGAAUCUUCCGCAAUGGACGAAAGUCUGACGGAGCAACGCCGCGUGAGUGAAGAAAGGUUUUCGGAUCGUAAAACUCUGUUGUCAGAGAAGAACAAGUUGGAGAGUAACUGCUCCAGCCUUGACGGUAUCUGACCAGAAAGCCACGGCUAACUACGUGCCAGCCGCCGC
rnacentral:rRNA from 1 species